GGAGGGAUCAUUAAAGAGUUCUAUAACUCCCAAACCCAUGUGAACAUACCUAACGUUGCCUCGGCAGGUCGCACCUACCUUGUAGCACCCUACCCUGUAGGGCCUACCCGGGAGGUGCGGGUAAGCCUGCCGGCGGCCCACCAAACUCUGUUUGAUAUUGAAUUCUGAACCUAUAACUAAAUAAGUUAAAACUUUCAACAACGGAUCUCUUGGUUCUGGCAUCGAUGAAGAACGCAGCGAAAUGCGAUAAGUAAUGUGAAUUGCAGAAUUCAGUGAAUCAUCGAAUCUUUGAACGCAUAUUGCGCCCAUUAGUAUUCUAGUGGGCAGGACCGUUCGAGCGUCAUUUCAACCCUUAAGCCUUCGUUGCUUAGUGUUGGGAGCCUACGGCAACGUAGCUCCUCAAAGUUAGUGGCGGAGUUGGUUCACACUCUAGACGUAGUAAUUUUUUAUCUCGCCUAUUAGUUGGACUAAUCCCCUGCCGUAAAACCCCUAAUUUAUCAAGGUUGACCUCGAAUCGGUUCAGACAAACUCGCUAAAUUGAAGCAUCUUAGUCAGCGAAGGAAAAGAAACCAACAGGGAUUGCCCUAGUAACGGCGAGUGAAGCGGCAACAGCUCAAAUUUGAAAUCUGGCCCUCGGGUCCGAGU
rnacentral:rRNA from 1 species